rnacentral:rRNA from 1 species
UAAUACGGAGGGUGCGAGCGUUGUCCGGAAUCACUGGGCGUAAAGGGCGCGUAGGCGGCCGUGUAAGUCACUUGUGAAAUCCCGGGGCUCAACUCCGGGGCUGCAGGUGAGACUGCGUGGCUAGAGCACGGUAGAGGCGAGUGGAAUUCCCGGUGUAGCGGUGGAAUGCGUAGAUAUCGGGAAGAACACCGGUG